rnacentral:misc_RNA from 1 species
GAUGAAGAACGUAGCAAAAUGCGAUAAGUAAUGUGAAUUGCAGAAUUCAGUGAAUCAUCGAAUCUUUGAACGCACAUUGCGCCCGCCAGUAUUCUGGCGGGCAUGCCUGUUCGAGCGUCAUUUCAACCCUCAAGCACAGCUUGGUGUUGGGACUCGCGUUAAUUCGCGUUCCCCAAAUUGAUUGGCGGUCACGUCGAGCUUCCAUAGCGUAGUAGUAAAACCCUCGUUACUGGUAAUCGUCGCGGCCACGCCGUUAAACCCCAACUUCUGAAUGUUGACCUCGGAUCAGGUAGGAAUACCCGCUGAACUUAAGCAUAUCUAUAAGCGGAGGA